GAUGAACGCUGGCGGCGUGCCUAAUACAUGCAAGUCGAGCGAACAGACGAGGAGCUUGCUCCUCUGACGUUAGCGGCGGACGGGUGAGUAACACGUGGAUAACCUACCUAUAAGACUGGGAUAACUUCGGGAAACCGGAUCUAAUACCGGAUAAUAUAUUGAACCGCAUGGUUCAAUAGUGAAAGACGGUUUUGCUGUCACUUAUAGAUGGUUCCGCGUCGGAUUAGCUAGUUGGUAAGGUAACGGCUUACCAAGGCGACGAUGCGUAGCUGACCUGAGAGGGUGAUCGGCCACACUGGAACUGAGACACGGUCCAGACUCCUACGGGAGGCAGCAGUAGGGAAUAUUCCGCAAUGGGCGAAAGCUUGACGGAGCAACGCCGCGUGAGUGAUGAAGGUCUUCGGAUCGUAAAGCUCUGUUAUUAGGGAAGAACAAAUGUGUAAGUAACUAUGCACGUCUUGACGGUACCUAAUGAAAAAGCCACGGCUAACUACGUG
rnacentral:rRNA from 1 species